rnacentral:rRNA from 1 species
CGGCGUGCCUAACACAUGCAAGUCGAACGAAUCCCUUUUACGGAUUUCCUUCGGGGAUGAAAGGUUUAUGACUGAGUGGCGGACGGGUGAUUAACGCGUGGGCAACCUGCCCCGUACCGGGGGACAACAGCCGGAAACGGCUGCUAAUACCGUAUACCUUUUAAGGACCGCAUGGUCCGUAAAACAAAACUCCGGUGGUACGGGAUGGGCCCGCUUCUGAUUAUCUCGUUGGCGGGGUAACGGCCCACCAAGGCGACGAUCAGUAGCCGGCCUGAGAGGGCGGCCGGCCACAUUGGGACUGACACACGGCCCACACUCCUGCGGGAGGCAACUGUGGGGAAUAUUGCACCGUGGGGGAAACCCUGAUGCAGCGACGCCGCGUGAGCGAAGAACUACCUCGGUAUGUAAAGCUCUGUCACCGGGAAAGAAAAUGACAGUACCUGACCAAGAAGCCCCGGCUAACUACGUGCCAGCAGCCGCGGUAAUACGUAGGGGGCAAGCGUUCUCCGGAUUCACUGGGCUUAAAGGGAGCGCAGGCGGCACGCCAAGUCUGAUGUGAAAACCCGGGGCUCAACCCCGGGAUUCCUUUGGAAAUUGCCGGGUUGGAUUCUCGGGGGGUUAGGCGGAUUUCUUGUUGUAGCGUUGAAAUGCUUGGUUUUCAGGAGGACCCCCGUUGGGGAGGGCGGCUUCCUGGACGUCAAUUACGGUUGAGGCUGGAAGGCUUGGGGACCAACCAAGAUUGGUUCCCUUGUUGUUCCCCCCCUUAAAGAUUAAUAAAAAGUUUUGGGGCGCCAAACCGCUCCGGUGCCGCAGCAAACGCAGUAAGUAUUCCGCCUGGGGAGUACGUUCGCAAGAAUGAAACUCAAAGGAAUUGACGGGGACCCGCACAAGCGGUGGAGCAUGUGGUUUAAUUUGAAGCAACGCGAAGAACCUUACCAGGCCUUGACAUCCCGGUGACAGAACAUGUAAUGUGUUUUUCCUUCGGGGCGCCGGUGACAGGUGGUGCAUGGUUGUCGUCAGCUCGUGUCGUGAGAUGUUGGGUUAAGUCCCGCAACGAGCGCAACCCCUGUUCCCAGUAGCCAGCGGGAGAGCCGGGCACUCUGGGGAGACUGCCGGGGACAACCCGGAGGAAGGCGGGGAUGACGUCAAAUCAUCAUGCCCCUUAUGGCCUGGGCUACACACGUGCUACAAUGGCGCAGACAGAGGGAGGCGAGCCCGCGAGGGGGAGCAAAUCCCAGAAAAGGCGUCCCAGUUCGGAUUGCAGCCUGCAACCCGGCUGCAUGAAGCCGGAAUCGCUAGUAAUCGCGGAUCAGAAUGCCGCGGUGAAUACGUUCCCGGG